rnacentral:tRNA from 1 species
GCCUGGGUGGCUCAGUCGGUUGGGCAUCUGACUUCAGCUCAGGUCAUGAUCUCACAGCUUGUGAGUUCGAGCCCUGCAUCAGGCU